rnacentral:rRNA from 1 species
UACAGAGGGUGCAAGCGUUGUUCGGAAUUAUUGGGCGUAAAGCGCGUGUAGGCGGCUUUGCAAGUCGGGUGUGAAAGCCCUCAGCUCAACUGAGGAAGUGCGCCCGAAAACUGCAGAGCUUGAGUGCCGGAGAGGGGUGGCGGAAUUCCCCCAAGUAGAGGUGAAAUUCGUAGAUAUGGGGGAGGAACACCGGUGGCGAAGGCG